UACGUAGGGAGCAAGCGUUGUCCGGAUUCACUGGGUGUAAAGGGUGCGCAGGCGGAUUUGUUAGUCAGAGGUGAAAUCUCACGGCUUAACCGUGAAACUGCCUUUGAUACUGCAGAUCUUGAGUUUGGGAGAGGUUGAUGGAAUUCCAGGUGUAGAGGUGAAAUUCGUAGAUAUUAGGGAGAACACCAGUGGCGAAGGCGGCUCACUGGCCCGGUACUGACGCUGAGGAGCGAAGGCCAGGGGAGCAAACGGG
rnacentral:rRNA from 1 species